GGGGAUAUAGCUCAGUUGGUAGAGUGCUUGCCUAGCAUGCACAAGGCCCUGGGUUCAAUCCCCGGUCCCA
rnacentral:tRNA from 1 species